UUUGACCUCAAAUCAGAUAGGACUACCCGCUGAACUUAAGCAUAUCAAUAAGCGGAGGAAAAGAAACCAACAGGGAUUGCCUUAGUAGCGGCGAGUGAAGCGGCAAAAGCUCAAAUUUGAAAUCUGGCGUCUUUGGCGUCCGAGUUGUAAUUUGAAGAAGGAUACUUUGGGUGUGUCUCUUGUCUAUGUUCCUUGGAACAGGACGUCACAGAGGGUGAGAAUCCCGUGCGAUGAGAUGCGCACAUCCAUGUAAAGUGCCUUCGAAGAGUCGAGUUGUUUGGGAAUGCAGCUCUAAGUGGGUGGUAAAUUCCAUCUAAAGCUAAAUAUUGGCGAGAGACCGAUAGCGAACAAGUACAGUGAUGGAAAGAUGAAAAGAACUUUGAAAAGAGAGUGAAAAAGUACGUGAAAUUGUUGAAAGGGAAGGGCUUGAGAUCAGACUUGGUAUUUUGAAUGAAUGCGCCUCGGUGUGUUCCCCUUCAGCUUACCGGGCCAGCAUCGGUUCGGAUGGUAGGAGAAUUGCUUGGGAAUGUGGCACUUCGGUGUGUUAUAGCCCUUGUAGAUACUGCCUGUCUGGACCGAGGACUGCGUCUUUGACUAGGAUGCUGGCAUAAUGAUCUUAAGUCGCCCGUCUUGAAACACGGACC
rnacentral:rRNA from 1 species